rnacentral:lncRNA from 1 species
CCUGCGUGAGGGGGGAACCGACUGAGAGGGAGGAGGAGAAAGAAGACGAGAAGGGGAAGCAGCGAAAGAGUGCAGGGAGAGAGGGGAGUGCCUGCGUUUGCAGCGGAUUAAAAACUGCGCAAUUUCCAAACGCGCAUCUCCUGCUCGGAUCAAACUCGUGCGUGGACAUGAGGGACUCGCGCCGUGGCACCACAUCCUCGCCUGGCCAAAACCGCAUCACCAUAGCAGACCACAGAGAAGUCGUGAGAUGCGUGCGUGCGUGCAUUUUUGAGGGGGGGAAGACUCUGGAACAAUUUUGCGCGCUGAUGUUUGUGUCACAUCAUCUCCUCUUACAGUGGUUUCAUAACGCAGCCGUGCCGACAUUUUACAGUGUGCGAUUCAAAUGUGCUCAUCUAUGGCAUAAUGAAGGUGCUGACGGAUCGCGCGCUGCGCCGUUCAUUCACCGCGCGAGGCGAAAGAAACUGCGCAGUUGCUUAUUUAGCUUGCAUUUUUACCACGAGGACAUGCGAGAAGAAGAAGCCACCUCCCAGUUUGAUCCUCCGUGCAUUAGCAGAGUUUGUGGUUUCACCGUGGCUGAGAUUUGGUUGGCCAACAUGAGAAUCUCUCUGGAGCUGUCUAUAAACCACAGGUCCAAUGAAACGGCCACAGGACCUUCUAUCAUCCAAUGGAGGAGGAAGAUCAAGAAGCAGGUGGCUGGAUGUUACCUGUGCCGGAGUGGAUGGAGAGGACAGAGAGCAGAAACACAUAAUGCAGCCCUCUCUCUCUAUCUCUCUCUCCUCCUCCCAGACUCACUCACUGAUCCGGAGAGAAAGAGUAGGAGAUGGCAGGAGAGAGAGACGGAGAGAAUGCGACAGGAAGAGGAAGAGGAAGAGUAGAGAGAGAAGAGGUUCACAGGUGAGACAGGAU